AUGAGUGACAGAACUAGUUUAUUGUUCUUUAUUUUAUUAUUAUUAUUAUUAUUAUUUUAUUAUUAUUUUGGGAUGGAGUCUUGCACUGUUGUCCAGGCUGGAGUGCAGUGGCACGAUCUUGGCUCACUGCAUCGUCCGCCUCCCGGGUUCAAGUGAUCCUCCUGCCUUGGCCUCCCAAGUAGCUGGGAUUACAGGCACCCGUCACCACGCCCGGCUAAUUUUUUGUAUUUUUAGUAGAGACUGGGUUUUACUAUGUUGGCCAGGCUGGUCUCGAACUCCUGACCUCAAGUGAUCCUCCACCUCGGCCUCCCAAAGUGCUGGGAUUACAGGCGUGAGCCAUCGCACCUGGCCUGUUUUUAUUUUUUAUUUUUGUUUUCUAAAAGCUUUUUAAGAGAUGGGUCUUGCUUUGUUGCCUAGGCUGGUCUUGAACGCUUGGGCUCAAGCACUUGGUCCACCUUGGCCUCCCAAAAUGCUGGGAUUACAGGUGUGAGCCACAGUGCUUAGCCUCUAGUUAACUGUUCUUAAACCAGGCUCCCUUCUGCUGGGACCCACUUCUUGUCCACCAGCUUCUCUCCUCUACAUCCCUGGGCUGCCAGGACCUCUGUCCCUGCCAUGCAGACUCCCUGUUCCCAGUGGACUGUCCCCUCCAGGGAGUCCUGCGGGCCAGCUCUUGCCUUGUAAUGUCUUCAGCUCCUUUGGCUAAUGAAUGCUGCUUCUUACUCUUGGUUUAACUUUACAAAACAUUGGUAACUUAUAAACUUGAGCUUGUCAUUUGUUCCGAAGAAUUCACAGGAGCACUGUCUCUCCCUCAUUCAAGGCUCAGGGUGGUAGCUCAUUUUCAAGGUUUCCCUGCUGCCUGGCUUCAAAUGGCCCUCAGGCCAGGUCACUUUAGGGAAAUUGGUGAUCGCUCUUUGUAUUCCACUUUUUUUUUUUUGAGACAGAGUCUUUCUGUGUCACCAGGCUGGAGUGCAGUGGUGUGAUCUCUGCUCACUGCAUCCUCCGCCUCCCGAGUUCAAGCAAUUCUCCUGCCUCAGCCUCCUGAGUAGUUGGGAUUACAGGCGAAUGCCACCCCCGACUAAUUUUUGUAUUUUUAGUAGAGACGGGGUUUCACCAUGUUGGCCAGGCUGGUCUUGAACUCCUGACCUUGUGAUCCAUCCGCCUCAGCCUCCCAAAGUGCUGGGAUUAUAGGCAUGAGCCACCACACACGGCGUGGAAUUUCACUCAGAUCCCUUCAGCUCUCUCUGGUUCUGACAGAUCUUGCCCAAAUUCCCAUGGGUAUGUGGUCAUUUGCUUGCCUGUUGCAGGGGGUGGCUGGGAGGUGGCACUCAGCCGUUCGACUCUGAGGCCCAGGACUCCUGGCUCCUGGGACUCACGUGUGUCCCUGCACAGGGAGGAGUGGAUGCGGGCCAUCCAGAUGGUCGCCAAUAGCCUCAAGCAGCGGGCCCCAGGCGAGGACCCCAUGGACUACAAGUGUGGCUCCCCCAGUGACUCCUCCACGGCUGAGGAGAUGGAAGUGGCGGUCAGCAAGGCACGGGCUAAAGUGGUAAGUGCUGGGAGCAGGGGUGGGGCUGCCAGCCUGCGGUACCCCCACCCCCAGUGCUGGCCUGCUCUCCUUGGUUUCCAUACACAGUUCAGGGGGCUCAGCUGAGAGACAAGGCUGCCCUGCAGGGUGGGGUGCUUUCAGGUGGCAGGUGCCCUAGGGUGUGCUCCAUGCCUAUGGGGGAGGGAGCAACCUUGGGUGGACCCACUGCAGCUUCAUCCUGGGAGGUGGUGAAGACCUGGCUACCCCCACGUCAGAGCCCAGCCCUCCCAAGGCCCUGUGCCUGCAGAGCCUGGUCUGAAGGCCGCUUCAGAACACACAGUUGCUGCCCGGACCCUCCCUUCCUGCUCCAGCCUAAGCCGUUUGGCAACAGUGUCUUUUGGUUUUCCUUUUUCUUUUGUUAAAAUUUUCUCCCAUGGGCCAUGAGCCAGGCACUGACUGCCCUCACUCUCCCUGUCCCUGGCAGACCAUGAAUGACUUCGACUAUCUCAAACUCCUUGGCAAGGGAACCUUUGGCAAAGUCAUCCUGGUGCGGGAGAAGGCCACUGGCCGCUACUACGCCAUGAAGAUCCUGCGGAAGGAAGUCAUCAUUGCCAAGGUGCGUGCCCCGGGCACUGCGUUCGCUGGCCUCUGUGGGGGCUGCGGUCUGGAGGCUGACCCUGAGGCCUGGAUGCUUACCCACGCUUUCUGCUGCCGUGGGCAUAUUUCCCCCACAAAUUCCCCCUAGUCAGAAAAGGGUGAGCCUUAGGCCCAGAGAGGAGCAGCAGGCCUUGCUGCUGAGUCCCCACCUCCACCCUCUGGUGGGGGCUGAGGGUGCCUGUGGAGAGAGAGCCUCGGGGUCCCACCCAGCAGGUACUGUCAAGGGAGGCUGGGGCCUGUUGGGGAGGCUGUGAGGAUGUUGCUGUUGGGGAGACCAGGGCUCUGCUCAGGGUAUUCCAGGUAGAGGCCGGGCCAGGAAUGGAAUUCUAGUUUUUCCCUUAUUUGAAUUUUUUGUAGUGGAAGAUUCCAAAGACAUUCAAAAAUUUAAAAAGAAAAUAAAUAUUACGGACCCCCAUGUAGCCAUUGUCCAGUUUAACCAGUUAUCAGCGUUUAGCCAGCCUUGUUUCCUUAGCUCUGCCUGUCCCUCUUGUUCUGGAAUACUUUAAGGCCUGUCCUAGACAACACGUCACUUCACUCAUCCAUACUCAAUCACGUGUCCUGACAGAUGAAGACUGUAAAGAAUAUAAUCAUGUGGUGCUGCCAUCAGAGCCAACCAAAUUAACUGUUCAUUCCUGAUGUGAUGAUUGGGCCUAAGGCAGCAUUCCUCAGCCUCAGUGCUGUUAACAUUUUGGGACAGAUUGUUCUGUGCUGUAGGUGCAGCCCUGUGCAUUGCAGGGUUUUAGCAACACCCCUGGCUUCUACCCACUAAAGCCAAUAGUAGCUCCCCAAGUUAUGACAAUCAAAAAUGACUUUUGGGUUGGGCGCCACAGCUCACGCCUGUAAUUCCAGCACUUUAGAAGGCUGAGGUGGGAGGAUCACUUGAGCCCAGGAGUUCGAGACCAGCCUGGGCAACAAAGCAAGACCCUGUCUCUAUAAAAAUAAAAAUAAAUUAGCUGGGCAUAGUGGCAUGCACCUGUAGUCCCAGCUGCUCAGGAGGCUGAAGUGGGAGGAUCAGUUGAGCCUCAGAGGUUGAGGCUGUAGUGACCCAUGUUCACACCACUGCACUCCAGCCUGGGCAACAGAGCCAGACCCCCAGCUAAAAAAAAAAAGGA
rnacentral:sRNA from 1 species